CCUGCCCACUGAAUUUGUUUGAAUGGCCGCAGUAAUUUGACUGUGCAAAGGUAGCAUAAUCAUUAGUUUUUUAAUUGAAAGCUUGUAUGAAGGGUUGGACGAGGUAAAAUCUGUCUCUAAUAAAUUUAAUUUAGAAUUUAACUUUUAAGUCAAAAGGCUUAAAUAAUAUUAAAAGACGAGAAGACCCUAUAGAUCUUUAUAUUUAAAAUAUUAAAUUUAAUUAAGAAUUUUUAAAAUUUUAUUAUUUUAAUUAUUUUAUUGGGGUAAUAUAAAGAUUAAAAUAAUUCUUUUUUUUUAUUUACAUAAAUUUAUGAAUUUGUGAUCCAAUUAUAUUGAUUAUAAGAUUAAGUUACCUUAGGGAUAACAGCGUAAUUUUUUUAAAGAGUUCUUAUCGAUAAAAAAGUUUGCGACCUCGAUGUUGGAUUAAAGAUUAUUUCAGGUGCAGAAGCUUGUAAAUUUUGGUCUGUUCGACC
rnacentral:rRNA from 1 species